AGCCAUCCGACCUGGUACACGUGUAUGUAUAGGGCUCAGUUUGAGUUUGUAGAGUUUUUUUUACAAUUGCCUUGAACUGGCAUAAUAUGAGGCACCUCUCUAAUCACGGCCAAUAUUCAUCUCACCUCAAACGCUGCCUCUGUUAUCAGCGUUACUAGUUGUUAACUCUGUUAUGGAGUACGUUGACCAUGAAUGGUUGACCUAGCACUGUUUGGGAGUAACAUUUCUGGAAGUAGCCGAACUAUUAUCUCGUGGCAUCACGUCUGGCACAACCGGAACAGGGUGCCAAAGGUGUCGAAGCUGCUGCAGGAAGUAAGGUGCAAAAAAGGCAAAUGCAAGAAUUAUAAACAAUGGUGCUCAGAGCAACUUGCCUGAUAAGAAUUUGUUCCGUUGGUCGGAGGUGGAACGUAAAGCCGCCAAUGGUGAACUGAGCUGUGGCCCAUUUGGUUGGACACAUGUACGAAAUACAUUUAUUUAAAUGUAGUGAGCGUCCUUCGGAAACUCAUUUCGGUGUCUCUGGUGACAUAUAAUCGAGCGGCUGAUUGUCCUACUUGAUGGAUUUGUACAUGCUAAUCACCCUCAAGCAAUGCACCUCAUGUCAUCUGCAUUUCUAAACGAAUCGGUUUCUAUGGUCCUUGAAUUUAAACAUGGAAAUCGAAGCAUCCGAAAGAUCUGAAAGUAGAAUUGCUGUGUCGAGAUUUAUCGAGAUCUCUCCCGACGUCCGUGCAGUUUCAAAUGGAAUACAAUCGGAGAUCCAAUUUAAGCUUGUCUCGUAUGCGAUCACUUUUGGAGAAGAAUUAUGACACUUGCCGAAUGUGUGUUCGUUGAGCAAUCAGGUUGUUCACCAUGUUUAAAGCUCGAUUACACUCACAAUUGUAUGACAUUUGCAAUGCGUCAUCGAAAACAGUGGAAAGUUAUUGGUUAGGAAUGUGUUUCUCUUUCUCUUUGCCGGUUCUUCUAGAUUCCACCGUCAACAACUCGUCCUUUUCCUGACAACUGAACUUAAGUUGUGUAAUGCAAACGUUUAAUUUGAAAACGACACAAACCACCUUCUACCGUGUGCUCUUCACUUUCUCUUUAGCGUCGAGCUGUGUGGGGAUGACAUUUGCUUAUGCAUUACCGGCACGUCGUCGAAGAACUUUAAUAUACUUUUUGUGCGAUCAGUUCCGGAAGCGUGUUUGGUUCCCUCGGGUCUGUCAACCGUGCGAGGCACGUAAACUCGACGGCGACAGUGAUGAUGCGUAUUGCGCAUAUCGCACGAUGCGUUGUGCUUUUUUGGUGCGCCUAGUACCGCCACACCACGUUGAGAAGGGCCCUUGUCAUUUGCCAUUAGCGUCAAGUCGAGUUAUUUCUUCACUUUCAUCGCACUGCUACUCGCGCUUGGUUGUAGCCGACUUGCGCAUCGAUCGCGCAUAGCUUCUCACAUGCCGUGGACGCUAUCGUCCGAAAUGGAGCCGAUUGUUACAACUGGACAAUCCGGCAAACCGUUACGGAACUGGAAUGGAAAAAGGGGGUGGUUGGUACUGCGGGACAAACGAUGAAGUACAUUUUCUCCAAAUGGAUAAACAGUAAGGGACGCGCGCGCUUACUCAUACGCUCACGCGGAUGUGCAGGAAUAAUGGUGGUGGUGGUAGUGAUUGCGGAAAAAUGAACGAUGUUGCCGCCGUCACCAGUAGCCAGAGUCGGUACCUUCAGGACAAUCAAACGAAUGCAAACCGAUUAUGAGCUUGCUGGCCUGCGAGAGGCUUCGAUUCGAUUCUGAGGCUCGUUUCGGAGCAACCAUCAAUUCCAAUCACGCCAAUUUGACACUCAAUAGACUCUAUUUUUGGUGCGACUUCCAAUGAUAACUUGCAAGAUGACGAAAGAUAGGAAGAAUUGAUAAAUUUUAACAGGCUGAGUAUGAAGCGUUAUUCUGUAAAUUAAAUUUACUUACACAAUUAUAUGUAUAUCUUUAGCAUACUUUGGUCUUAUCAAAUGAUUUCGUACAAGAUAUUUUUUUCCAACCCUUUUUUAUGCGAAUGAACUGUUAUGCCAAGAAAUCGUAAGAAAGGCCUAGUCCUCAGAGAAGAAGACUUUGAGUGAGAUGGAGUCAUCAGUUCGUGAAAAAAAGUCAGGCGUCAAUCGGCGUUUUUGCAUUAGGGGUACCACUUCGCAUACUACCCAUGAAUGAAUGUAUCACUUCGCUUUGCAUCCUGUACGUCCGGCACAGAACCAUGAUUGUACCGCAUCGUACCGGAUUGUACUGCUUUUCCGAAUAGUGUGCCGUUUCGUCGAUCAAUUGCACUAUAGAGAAGUAAUGGGUGGGGAGAGAUAGUGAUAUAGAAUCUAAAACUAUUUCUGAUACUUUUGCAGAACGAUUUCCAUGGGUCGUAAUACUCUGGUGGUGUUGGAAGAGGAGUUGCUCGUGGCGUGUCGAAUUGAUAGUUUAUGAUUGAAACCGCACACUACGCUCACACACCCCAUCACUAUAUUCCUGGUAAAAGGGUAUACGAAGAAGCAUCACGUGUAAGCAUUCGCAGCUGUAUGACUGCUUGAUUUGACUGACUGGCAAGAAACGUCGUAUUAUCGCCGGCAUCAACUCAUACCGGAUCACAUUUGCUGGAUGGAAGUAAGAAGGCGACCGUGGAGGUCUGGUAUGGGAAUUGUUGUAGCAAUAGGCUAAGGUGAUUCACUUCGGUCGGCGGAAGCAGACGAAGAUGCUUUCAGUGCGGCCAAUCGAUUCCGGAUGAAGGGUAGAGAGAGGGUGUUCGGUUUGCCUGGAAGGUGCGGUUUGAUUGAAGAUAAUGACGUUACCUCCAGAAACCUUGUAGAAGGAAUGAUGCAGUACUAAUUCUUUGCAUUUAGGAUAUCUUUUUCUAACAUUGUAAUAAGGAAGCAUAAAUUUUUCUAGCCUGCCGUGUAAACUGAUACGUAUUACUCCAUGAAUGAAUUGAUUCCAAAUCGGCUGUGCUAUUAGAAAAGACUACUUCAUCCAUGUUUGUCAAUGUUAGUGAUGUGAACCCGAACCGAGGAGAUGGUGUAAAUUAAUUGCACACAUCGGUCAUCCUAAUAGGGUUGCUCGUACUAAACUUUCAACGACGCAGCACAUGUGCACGUGAGAUUCAUAGAAGUUAUUGACCGAAUGCUGCCCCUUUCGUCACUCAUUCCAACCAUGGGACAAGCAUUCGAGGAACGAUCGAGUGCCAUUUACACCGUCACAUCAUAUCGCACGACCCUAAACCAGCGCUACGUUCCAAAACCGGAUGGCGUGGUGUAGGUUCUUCAUACGGCCCAUUAUGGAGGCAGCUGACCGACUCCCGGUUCCCGGCCUGUACGAACCCUUUGGUACAGUUCUUGGAAUUUGAAAAAGUGGGUGUUUUCCCGCCACAUAUCACCGGCCCAAGACACCUUACGUAAAAUUGUGUCCACCUAUGGCAUUAGCCGCUGAUCUAAGCGAAGAGUUAACCGGCAUCUCCAUCUUUGGACUGUCACCACGGUUGCUGGUGAUUACUUCGGCAACUGUGUCCUCAGUAUGCGUGUGUGUGUAUGAGAUGGAAGUUUGCACUUUUUAUUUCCCAGUUUUUCUCUAUUUUUCUCCUUCUCGCUUCCUUUCCACUCGAAACUGUCGCAUGAUAUGUCGGGCGGCCGGUGCUCUAUGAGACCAUGCGAGUUGACCGUCAUCCCUCGGGGGUGUAGCUCGCCAGUAGUAGGGCCUGCUUCGAUCUAUCGAUGACAGAUUGAUGAAUAGACCACACCGAUAAGGCAGUGAUGUCACUCUCUUAAAGGGAACGUGGCGUGAAAAUGUCGCUUUCAUUCUCGCACUAUUUCGCUUGAAACAACAGUUACCUGCAUCGUGUGAGCGAUUUUGUGUGAGCAAGUCAUGGGAGGAUCAUAAAAACUGAAAGUUGCACCUAGCUUGUUACGUUCAAAUGAUCUCCUCCGAAUCUUGUAUCGCUGGCGACGUCCACCUUCGCCUACUGCUUCUAAUGGUACUGAAUACCACUUUUUACAACUGUCAAUGGGAUACAAGUGAUGCAUCGGAAUGUGCCAGGCAAAUGGCCUAUGCGUGUGAGUAUGCUCCACGAUGCGAUUUUGUUUGAUAUUCGACGCUUGUUGCACUUGUUUUGUAAGCAGGUAGAGUUGUGGUGGUCAAAGCUGUAAAAUUAUAUUUUAACAAAGCAAACAUUUGCACGACAUAACAGUAACUGGAUGGUAAUCCUUCGGGUUGGCAUGAAUCUCUAAUUUUACUUAUUUGCGAUUAAAUACCCGAGCUCUGUUCACCAUAUCCAAGAACUGAUUGACUAUCAUAUUAUUGAAAAAGUCUCAUUAUUGUCUAUAAGACCUGUAGUUGUAGAACCACUUAGGUUUUUAGAACCAGAAAAAGAAGCGGAAGAAGAAGAAGAAGAAGAAGAAAAAGAAGAAGAAGAAGAAGAAGAAGAAGAAGAAGAAGAAGAAGAAGAAGAAGAA